GACAAGGCUUCGCCUCGUAGUAUGCGCGAUACUUCUUCCUCCUUCGAGAGAAAUAACAUUUCAGGCUCGCUUCGCGAAGAACGGCUCGAACGAGGAAUAAAAAUUGAUUCUUUCAUAAUGGAGAUAAAUGGAGCUUCCAAAUUGGUUGAAAACAAUACAAUGGUCACAAUACAACAAUUGGCGUUGAAGAAAAAUAUUAACAACGGAAGUUAUCGAACCCGGAAAUUCUGUGUAUUAUCUUGUGAACGGUAGAAGAUAACGAAAAAAAGUUCAAACAAAAUGAGGAAUUUACAUGAAAAUAUUGUAAUACUAAAAUUUGAAUAAAUACAGACACUUUGGUUG